GGAUUACUGUAUAUAGGCUGCCAACGUCCAUUGUGAUGAAUAUAGGAACAGUACCAUGUAGAUCCAAAUUGUUGAGCCUAUACAAAAGGGUCUGUGUAUCUUUAAUACAUGUGUUCAACGCCUCCACUGGCUCCUUAAAAAGAAAAUCUAGCCAUUGGGCUAUAGGUUCCAAUAUUCCAUCAAUAGCUGAAACAAUAGGACGACCAGGAGGUCUCUGUGUGUUUUUAU